GCGAUUAAGGCUAUAAAUCACGCUUGAAAAGCUUUUCAAUUAAUAAGCAUGCCUUAUAGCAUUUGUCUUUGAAACUCUGCACUAUCCUUGGAUCCCUAGUUAGCGACUUUCUUCAUUUUUCAUAAGUGGGCAAAAAACAGCAAAAAAGUAAGGCUAUAUAUAUAGCCUUAACUUUUCGUCCAUUUUUAGCGAUUUUUUUCAUUUUUCAUAAGUGGGUAAAAAACAGCAAAAAAGUAAGGCUAUAUUUCCAUUUUUCAUAAGUGGCCAAAAAACAGCAAAAAAAGAAAAAAAACAGCAAAAAAGUAAGAAACAUGAAAAACGGCAAAAAAAUAAGGCUAUAUGUCCAUUUUGAAAAACAUGGAACUGAAAAACAUUUCAAACGUGAAAAGCGGCAAAAAAGUAAGGCUUACUUUUCAUCCAUUUUUAGCGACUUUUUACAUUUUUCAUAAAUGGGCAAAAAACAGCAAAAAAGUAAUGCAAUAGCCUUAACUUUUCAUCCAUUUUUAGCGACUUUUUCCAUUCAUAAAUAGGAAGAAAAAACCCCAGCAAAAAAGUAAGGCUAUAGCAUUAACUUUUCAUCCAUUUUUAGCGACUUUUUACAUUUUUCAUAAAUGGGCAAAAAACAGCAAAAAAGUAAUGCAAUAGCCUUAACUUUUCAUCCAUUUUUAGCGACUUUUUCCAUUCAUAAAUAGGAAGAAAAAACCCCAGCAAAAAAGUAAGGCUAUAGCAUUAACUUUUCAUCCAUUUUUAGCGACUUUUUACAUUUUUCAUAAAUGGGCAAAAAACAGCAAAAAAGUAAUGCAAUAGCCUUAACUUUUCAUCCAUUUUUAGCGACUUUUUCCAUUUUUCAUAAGUUGGCAAAAAACAGAAAAAAAGUAAGGCUAUAGCAUUAACUUUUCGUCCAUUUUUAGCGACUUUUUUCAUUUUUAAUAAAUAGGCAAAAAACAGCAAAAAAGUAAGGCUAUAGCAUUAACUUUUCAUCCAUUUUUAGCGACUUUUUUCAUUUUUAAUAAAUAGGCAAAAAA
rnacentral:lncRNA from 1 species